rnacentral:rRNA from 2 species
GGACGGGUGAGUAAUGCCUAGGAAUCUGCCUGGUAGUGGGGGACAACGUUUCGAAAGGAACGCUAAUACCGCAUACGUCCUACGGGAGAAAGUGGGGGAUCUUCGGACCUCGCGCUAUCAGAUGAGCCUAGGUCGGAUUAGCUAGUUGGUGAGGUAAAGGCUCACCAAGGCGACGAUCCGUAACUGGUCUGAGAGGAUGAUCAGUCACACUGGAACUGAGACACGGUCCAGACUCCUACGGGAGGCAGCAGUGGGGAAUAUUGGACAAUGGGCGAAAGCCUGAUCCAGCCAUGCCGCGUGUGUGAAGAAGGUCUUCGGAUUGUAAAGCACUUUAAGUUGGGAGGAAGGGCAGUAAGCUAAUACCUUGCUGUUUUGACGUUACCGACAGAAUAAGCACCGGCUAACUUCGUGCCAGCAGCCGCGGUAAUACGAAGGGUGCAAGCGUUAAUCGGAAUUACUGGGCGUAAAGCGCGCGUAGGUGGUUCGUUAAGUUGGAUGUGAAAGCCCCGGGCUCAACCUGGGAACUGCAUCCAAAACUGGCGAGCUAGAGUAUGGCAGAGGGUGGUGGAAAUUUCCUGUGUAGCGGUGAAAUGCGUAGAU